GACGAACGCUGGCGGCGUGCUUAACACAUGCAAGUCGAACGGAAAGGCCCUGCUUUUGUGGGGUGCUCGAGUGGCGAACGGGUGAGUAACACGUGAGUAACCUGCCCUUGACUUUGGGAUAACUUCAGGAAACUGGGGCUAAUACCGGAUAGGAGCUCCUGCUGCAUGGUGGGGGUUGGAAAGUUUCGGCGGUUGGGGAUGGACUCGCGGCUUAUCAGCUUGUUGGUGGGGUAGUGGCUUACCAAGGCUUUGACGGGUAGCCGGCCUGAGAGGGUGACCGGCCAAAUGGGGAAUGAGAUACGGCCCAGACCACUACGGGAGGGAGGAGGGGGGAAUAUUGAAAAAUGGGCGGAAGCCUGAUGCAGCAACGCCGGGUGGGGGAAGACGGCCUUCGGGUGGAAAACCGCUUUCGCCUGUGACGAAGGGUGAGGGACGGUAAUGGGUAAAGAAGCACCGGAAAAAUAAGG
rnacentral:rRNA from 1 species